rnacentral:rRNA from 1 species
GACGAACGCUGGCGGCGUGCUUAACACAUGCAAGUCGAACGAAGAGCGACGGAAGCUUGCUUCUAUCAAUCUUAGUGGCGAACGGGUGAGUAACGCGUAAUCAACCUGCCCUUCAGAGGGGGACAACAGUUGGAAACGACUGCUAAUACCGCAUACGAUCUAACCUCGGCAUCGAGGAUAGAUGAAAGGUGGCCUCUACAUGUAAGCUAUCACUGAAGGAGGGGAUUGCGUCUGAUUAGCUAGUUGGAGGGGUAACGGCCCACCAAGGCGAUGAUCAGUAGCCGGUCUGAGAGGAUGAACGGCCACAUUGGGACUGAGACACGGCCCAGACUCCUACGGGAGGCAGCAGUGGGGAAUCUUCCGCAAUGGACGAAAGUCUGACGGAGCAACGCCGCGUGAGUGAUGACGGCCUUCGGGUUGUAAAGCUCUGUUAAUCGGGACGAAAGGCCUUGUUGCGAAUAGUGAGAAGGAUUGACGGUACCGGAAUAGAAAGCCACGGCUAACUACGUG